UAAAAAUAUAAUUCCUGAGCUUCACCACUGCACUCUGCUACCUCCUGUGCACACCCACCCACACAUGCACACACACGCACACCCCAUCAAGUCUUCUCCAGCAGUAUGCACACUGACAACUCUGCAAUGUCGCAAUAGAAAUUCUCACAUGGUUCUGAAGGACCUAGAACUUUUAAGCGAUUCUGCCAACUUCUCCUCUGGUUUGCACACCUCUCUCCUGCCAUCAGCACCUCCUAAUGCAGCCCUUGGUUUGAGCUCCUUACAUUGCUCUUGGAAUAUUGCCACUGCGGGGCAUAUGGGCUGUUUCCAUUUGUCCAGCAGGCCUUCUCCUCCUCAUUCCAACUGAUUCUGAGGGGCCCAUCAUCGCAUUGUCUCCACCCAAACCACCACUGCAGGGGUCCUCUGUGGACAGCACACCCAGGACUCAUGAGAGGAUAAUGGCUGGAAAUUACAGGCAUGUGGCAGCUUCUGAGGGACAGAUGGAAAGUAGUAUGAAAUAUUUGUAUUCACUUAAAGUGGAAAGACAAUCUGCACACCUGGAGGAGAUAUUUGCAACAUUUACAACUGGCAAAGGUUUAUUACCAAGAAUAUAUAAAGAAGUCUUAUAAAUCAACAAGAAAGAAGAAAAACAACAGAAAGAAAUGGACAAAAGAAAAAGCAUUUUAUAAAAGAAGAAAUGCUCAUGGCCAGCAAACAUAUGGAGAUGUUCAAACUCAUGUGAAAUGUAAAUCAAGACCCAAUAAGAUAAGCUUUUAUGUCCACUAAAAUGGCAAAAUGUUAAUAGCUAGACAAUCCAAGUAUUGGAGAACAUACAGAUCCAUGGGAUCUCUUACAUAUCGCUUAUAAGGGUACGCAUUAGGACAUAGGACACUCACUUAGAAAAAGUGUGGCAUUAUCUUGCAAAAUCAAACACUCACAUAGGCUGCUGUGCAGGUCCUGAGUCUGUUUGCCCUCAGAUCCACUCUUUGCUAUGCCCUUAUGUCCUCAGUUUUCCAGCAGGAUCUCGGCAGCCAUGUCAUCUUGCUUCCAGUUGGGCUCAGUUAAUAAAAGAGAGAGAAUGGAAGGUGGAAAGAAGGGAGAAGCCAAGGUGUUUCUCACCAGCACCCUCCCCUUCUCCUCUCAGGUAACAUCCCCUGUGGUGGCCACAGCUCUCCGAUGGGUCCAGUUCCCACAGGAAAGCCAGCCAUGAUUCUAACUUCUACCAGGUGACCCUGGCCCUGGGCUCUGGUGACACUAACCUUUUGUUUCUCUAGUCCUGGGGAGGGGUAGUAACAGCUUCCUGCUAUUAUUAAUUUAUGGAUUGCCUCAUUGCCUCCUGUGAGGCUUCUCAGCUAUUGAUUACCAUACUACUCAGCAAUAAAAAGGAAAAAACUAUUGAUACAUGCAACAACUUUGUCGGACCACAAGAGAAUUUUACCAACUAAAAAAGCCAGUCUCACAUUGUUACAUACUAUAUGAUUCCACUUACAUAACCUUCUAGAAAUGACAAAAUUAUUGAGGUGAAGAACAGAUUAGUGGUUGCCAAGGGUUAAAGACAGGGUUGGGGUUGGAGAAAGAAAUCAGUGUACCUAAAAAGAAGCAGCCAGAGGGAUCUUUGUGGUGACGGGACAGUUCUGUAUCUUGAUUGUGGUGGUGGUUAUACAAAUCUACGUGUAAUAAAGUUUUAUGUGUGCAUAGAACUAUGUACAUACUCAAACAAAUGCAUGUAACCCUGGUGAAAUCUGAAUAAGGUCUGUGGAUUGUGCCAAUACCAGUGACCUGGUUUUGAUACUGUAUUAUAGCUAUCUAAGACAUUAUUAUCAGGAGAAAAUGGGGGAAAGGUACAUGUACUUUUCUGUACUAUUUUUGCAACUUCUCGUGAAUCUGUUACUAUUUCAAAAUUAAAAGUAUCUGAAAAUCCA
rnacentral:lncRNA from 1 species